rnacentral:tRNA from 1 species
UGACCUCGUAGCUCAGCUGGAUAGAGCGUUGGUUUCCUAAACCAUGCGUCGUGAGUUCAAGUCUCACCGAGGUCAU